UGGGGAAUUUUGGACAAUGGGCGAAAGCCUGAUCCAGCAACGAUGCGUGGAGGAUGAAGGUUCUCGGAUUGUAAACUCCUUUUGAUGGGGAAGAAAAAAAUGACGGUACCCAUCGAAUAAGCCACGGCUAACUACGUGCCAGCAGCCGCGGUAAGACGUAGGUGGCAAGCGUUACUCGGAAUUACUAGGCGUAAAGCGCGCGUAGGCGGAAUGUUAAGUCUGUUGUGUAAUCUCUGGGCUCAACCCAGAAACUGCAACAGAAACUGGCGUUCUUGAGUGAGGCAGAGGAGAUCGGAAUUCCUAGUGUAGCAGUGAAAUGCGUAGAUAUUAGGAGGAACACCGGUGGCGAAGGCGGAUCUCUGGGCCUUUACUGACGCUCAAGUGCGAAAGCUAGGGGAGCAAACGGG
rnacentral:rRNA from 2 species